ACUAUAGUCUCUUUUGGUUUUUAAAAAUAGUAUGUUCAUUAACUAUUAUCAGUAUUUUAAACUUAAAAAUAAAUUAAGUAUCAUUAAAAUAAUAUCAAUGUAUAGUUGAUAAUAGCAUAGGCAUAUUAAAAUUACAUUACUAUUAUUAAUAUUUCUAUGCAUAAUAGGUAACUAAUUUAUCAUCAAACUGUUCAAUUACAUGAAAGUUGAUUAUUAAGAAUCACAUUUAAAAAAAAAAAAAUUGUAUUAUUUAUUUUCAUUUAAGCAAAUUAGGUAAAGCAAUAAUUAAUAGACAACUGAAACUAAUUGCUCUCUUUAAUAAGACUAAAUAAUCAUUCCAGACUUUUCAUUUUAUAAUAAUUAAUAAAAUGUGUAUAUAUAUAAAUUUUAAAGAAGUAAAUAAUAUGUAUUAAAAUGAUUGCAAACAUAAAAUGUAUUAAAAAGGAAUAAUAUCAUUAAUUUAAAAUCUGUUUUAUUAUUAUUGUUCAAACUAAAAUUAGGUAUAUCUAUCUAAUACAAAUACUACUAGUUUUUAUAUAUAUAAGAACAUAUUGAAUACAUAUUAAAAAAUACACUUUUAAUUGUUCUGAAUAAUUAUAAUUAGUUUUUAUUUUUGCAUUAUAAUAUUAUAAAUUGUAUUCAUAAACAUAUUUGUCAUUUGACAUUAUUAUCAAAGUGUUCAAAAGAUGGUAUACAUUUUUACUUUAAAUUUGUUAAAGCCUGUUUUAUAUUUUUAACAUCAUAAUAUUAUGUAUAAUAACUAGAGCUACUGUUGAGAUUUUAAAUUUAAAAUUGUAUUGUUAUAAAUUGGGUAAGUUGCGAAUAGAACAAGAAAUACUAUUUAUUUUAUUUAUUAAAUGUACUCUGAAUGAUAAAGUAUGUUUAAUUACAUAAUAGUUUAUUGUUUAUAAAUUUUCUCAAUAAACUAAGAAUGAGACUGUAAACUUUGAAAAACAAGUACAAUAGUUUCUUUAAUAUAUUAGAUACGUAAAAUUUAUAUAACACUUUGUUUAUAUACAUAUAAAUUUUUACAAAUUUUAAUUAAUAUGUAUUGUAUUUAUUUAAAAUUAUAAACAUUUGUCAAUGUUACUAUAGUAUAUGUAUCAUAUAAUACUACAUGUAUACACAUUAUACUUAUGUAGGUAUCAUACAUAUAUAUUUGUUUAUAUUUAUGAACGUAAUAUUACAGAAACAAUUACGAAAACUGUUAUAACUAAAAUAUGGUAUGUCAUACUUUAUAAUGAUAAAUAAAUAAAUAAAUAGUAUAAACUAAAAUAUUUUAAUUUCUACACACCAUAACAUGGACGGGUUGAAGAUCACUUCUAAGCGGUUUCAUAUUACUCGUAUUAGUACUUUAAAUUUAGAUCUACAAAUAUUAAAUAAAUGUUAAAGGGUUCCAAUAAUUUUUAUACUAUAAAUAAAAAUAUGUCAAUAGUAUUUUAUUUGAAAAAUGUAUUGAUAUUUUCAGUUUUUUGUUGGUUUCUGGGUUCCUUUGGUAACAUGAAAAAAAAGACUGCCUAGGAUAAUGAUGACGGGUACAGCUACUGUUAUAGAUGAUUUAAUGUAUACAUGUAAAUAACGAACGAUAAACCAUUGCUUGUAAAAAAAAAC
rnacentral:lncRNA from 1 species